rnacentral:ncRNA from 20 species
GCAGGAUGCAAACGCCGCAGUGCACGGGAAGUCGGUGUGAUUCCGACGUGGUCCUCGCCACUGUGACCAGGGAGUGGCUCUUCGUCGUUCGCCACUGACAGUUGCAGGUUCACGCCGCGCUGUUGGGAAGGCCGAGGAGUCGUGGUGAUCUGGAAGCCAGGAGACCGGCUGCGGCGCAGAUCAGUCCA